GACAGAGGCCCCGAGCGUUAGGCGGAAUCACUGGGCUUAAAGCGUGUGUAGGCGGGCCCGUAAGUGUCUUGUGAAAUCCCACGGCUCAACCGUGGAACUGCUGGGCAUACUGCGGGUCUUGGGCCAACUAGGGGCAGCCGGAACAAGCGGUGGAGCGGUGAAAUGCGUAGAUAUCGCUUGGAACGCCGAAGGUGAAAACAGGGCUGCUGGGGUUGCGCCG
rnacentral:rRNA from 1 species